GUAGAGCAGCGGUCAGUUGCAUGCAUCAGAGGAGGUGGGGGAUCGAUGGAGGUCAAACAGUCCAAGCUUGGAACAGAGAGGACGAUAAGUUUGGGUUUGAGUAUCGGGUAGCAGCGAUCUUUUGUCUGAUUACUCUGUCAAUGUCCUUCUUUAUCAAAUCUCGAUGCCGGAAAGCCGAGCGAUGAAGACGACUGUUGCGCUCAGACCAGCAGAAGUAUAUUGUUGCUUGCCAAGUUAGAAGCGUGAGAAGGCGCCACGGCCCUAGAGGAGUAGUUGCUCGCAUCGCAGAGAGGACAUCAUGCCAAUUAGGGAGAGGGGGGGAUGGGGCUUCUGGACAUGAAUGAUUCCCAUAUAUCCCAAGUAUAUGGGCAGUUGAAGAAGAGGUGAUCACGUGACUCUGAGGCGGCAUUACACAGGAUACAAGACCGAUCAACAUCCAGACCCCAUGCUGCCAUCCUGUCUUUGGUAGGGCAUCGAUCAAGCACAAACAGCCAAGUUAGGAACUGAUGUUUUGGGAUUCCACCAGUGAACCAGACCUCCUAAUGCCACGCCACCUCCGGCUCAGCCGUUCUUAAGAGGUCGUAGAUCAUUCUUGUUGAAUAGGAAUCUGCUUUAUUACCUCCAGGCAUCCAAAGGAGGCAAUACCCAAGUGUCAGACUCCCAUAGCUCUGCUAAGGUUGCCAUUGAAGAAAUACCGACAUGGCUAGCGCUUUCACCUUGCAGAAAUUGUUGAUAUCACCUUCAAGAAUCUCUUCAAUAAACCAAGUAGCCCACAUGGAAUCAGACUUGAAGAAUAGCAGCCAUAUAAGCUUCAGCGCACAAGCCUUGUUCCAAGCAAUCCAGUUUUUUAACCCUAGGCCUCCUUCACGUUUCGGCUGAGAGCAUUUCUCCCAAGCUACCUUCGCAGCUCCAUUCCCGUCCAGUUUGCCUUUCCAAAGGAACUUUGCACACAACGAGUCGAUUUCAGAUAGACAAGCUUUGGGUAGUAUGUACGCAGAGGUCCAGAAAUUGAUGAGUCCCGAGAUACCCGUGGAGAUAAGUUGAAGCCUUCCUGCGAAGGAUAGUAGACGGACAGUCCAAGACAUGAACUUUGAUUUGAUGGCCUGAAUCAAGGGAGCGCAGUGGUUCAUGGAGAGCCUUGACAGAUAGGCAAGCCAAUUUUUCCGUCCGAUUUACCCCAUCAUAAUUUUAACGUCAAGUACUAAUGUAAACAUUUGUCCCCC